UGCAAGUCGAGCGGACAGAUGGGAGCUUGCUCCCUGAUGUUAGCGGCGGACGGGUGAGUAACACGUGGGUAACCUGCCUGUAAGACUGGGAUAACUCCGGGAAACCGGGGCUAAUACCGGAUGGUUGUUUGAACCGCAUGGUUCAGACAUAAAAGGUGGCUUCGGCUACCACUUACAGAUGGACCCGCGGCGCAUUAGCUAGUUGGUGAGGUAACGGCUCACCAAGGCGACGAUGCGUAGCCGACCUGAGAGGGUGAUCGGCCACACUGGGACUGAGACACGGCCCAGACUCCUACGGGAGGCAGCAGUAGGGAAUCUUCCGCAAUGGACGAAAGUCUGACGGAGCAACGCCGCGUGAGUGAUGAAGGUUUUCGGAUCGUAAAGCUCUGUUGUUAGGGAAGAACAAGUGCCGUUCAAAUAGGGCGGCACCUUGACGGUACCUAACCAGAAAGCCACGGCUAACUACGUGCCAGCAGCCGCGGUAAUACGUAGGUGGCAAGCGUUGUCCGGAAUUAUUGGGCGUAAAGGGCUCGCAGGCGGUUUCUUAAGUCUGAUGUGAAAGCCCCCGGCUCAACCGGGGAGGGUCAUUGGAAACUGGGGAACUUGAGUGCAGAAGAGGAGAGUGGAAUUCCACGUGUAGCGGUGAAAUGCGUACAGAUGUGGAGGAACACCAGUGGCGAAGGCGAGU
rnacentral:rRNA from 1 species